UACAGACUCCUACGGGAGGCAGCAGUGAGGCCUCUUGGUCAAUGGCCGCGAGUCUGAACCAGCCCAGUAGCGUGAAGGAUGACUGCACUAUGGGUUGUAACCUUCUUUUAUAUGGGAAUAAAAUGUUCCCCGUGUGGGAUUUUGUAUGUACCAUAUGAAUAAGGAUCGGCUAACUCCGUGCCAGCAGCCGCGGUAAUACGGAGGAUCCGAGCGUUAUCCGGAUUUAUUGGGUUUAAAGGGAGCGUAGGUGGCUUGUUAAGUCAGUUGUGAAAUUUUGCGGCUCAACCGUAAAAUUGCAGUUGAAACUGGCAGUCUUGAGUACAGUAGAGGUGGGCGGAAUUCGUGGUGUAGCGGUGAAAUGCUGAGAUAUCACGAAGACCUCCGAUUGCGAAGGCAGCUUACUGGACUGCAACUGACACUGAGGCUCGAAAGUGUGGGUAUCAAACAGGAUUAGAUACCCUCGUAAC
rnacentral:rRNA from 1 species